ensembl:snRNA U6 U6 spliceosomal RNA
GUGCUCGCUUUGGCAGCACAUAGAUUAAAACUAGAGCAAUACAGAGAAGAUCAGCAUGGCCUCUGCACAAGACUGACACAAAAAAUUUGAAGUAUUCCAUAUUUUU